CUUCCCCAGCCUCUGGGAACACAGACUGUUUGGUCUGUGUGGGAACUCCAUGGGCCGCGUCUACACGACUGGGAGAAAGCAGGAAGGUGGCUUUCGUCCUUCCUGUUGGCUCGACUGCCAGCGCAAACCUACCCACGUGCAAACUCAAGAAAGAACUGCUUCUUGCCUCUAUAAAGCGUCCAGCCUCAAAAUUACUCGCUAUUUGGCACCAUGUGACAAAACACCAGACUCAGCACCUUAGAAGAGGAGGGACUGGUGCCGGCUGGUACUUACAGAAGGCUCCGUCUACCAUGGCUGGCUGUUUUCACAGGCCAGGGUUGUGUGUACGUGUCCAGACACGUGUGUAGAGGCGAGGACAACUUCCAGUGUCAUCCCUCAGUCCCCAUUCACUGUGGUUUGUGUGGACAGUGACUUGAGUGGAUUAAUCCACCCUCACCACACAGACUAGGAAAGCAGCCAGCAACCCUCAGGGAUCUGCAUGUCUCUGCCUCGCCCGUGCCAGUAUUACAAGAAGGAGCCAGCACACCCAGCCUGGCUUUUUUGUUUAACACAAUGUCCUCCACUUUUACUCACAUUGGCAAACAAGAUGGGGUUUUACUCUCUUAAUGGCUGAGUAGUACUCUGUUGUGUAAAUGCGCCACAUUUCCUGUAUCCAUCACUUUAUGAACAUUUGGGAUGUCUCCGUCUCUUGACUGCUGUGAGUGGUGUUGCCAUUAUCAUAGAAGCAUCGGUUCCUAUUGGUAUUUAAUCAGUGAAGGUAGGGGAGGAGUCUGAUCCCAUGGGAUCACGCAUAUAUUUAAUGGGGAAAAGCAAAAGGAAUAUGACAGUCACUACACUGCCAGACUGUGCACACUUAGGAAG